UCCCUUAGGUCAGCGGCGGACGGGUGAGUAACACGUGGGUAACCUGCCUGUAAGACUGGGAUAACUCCGGGAAACCGGGGCUAAUACCGGAUGCUUGAUUGAACCGCAUGGUUCAAUCAUAAAAGGUGGCUUUUAGCUACCACUUACAGAUGGACCCGCGGCGCAUUAGCUAGUUGGUGAGGUAACGGCUCACCAAGGCGACGAUGCGUAGCCGACCUGAGAGGGUGAUCGGCCACACUGGGACUGAGACACGGCCCAGACUCCUACGGGAGGCAGCAGUGGUCA
rnacentral:rRNA from 1 species